CCUACGGGCGGCAGCAGUGAGGAAUAUUGGUCAAUGGACGAGAGUCUGAACCAGCCAAGUAGCGUGAAGGAUGACUGCCCUAUGGGUUGUAAACUUCUUUUAUAUGGGAAUAAAACAGGGUAUGCAUACCCUCUUGUAUGUACCAUAUGAAUAAGGAUCGGCUAACUCCGUGCCAGCAGCCGCGGUAAUACGGUGGAUCCGAGCUUUAUCCGGAUUUAUUGGGUUUAAAGGGUGCCUAGGUGGAUGUUUAAGUCAGUUGUGAAAGUUUGUGGGUUAACCGCAAAAUGGCAGUUGAUACUGGAAGUCUUGAGUACAGUAGAGGUAGGUGGAAUUCGUGGUGUAGCGGUGAAAUGCUUAGAUAUCACGAAGAACUCCGAUUGCGAAGGCAGCUCACUGGACUGCAACUGACAUUGAUGCUCGAAAGUGUGGGUAUCAAACAGGAUUAGAUACCCGGGUAGUC
rnacentral:rRNA from 1 species